UACGGAGGGUGGAAGCAUUAAUCGGAAUUAUUGGGCGUAAAGGGCGCGUAGGCGGAUGUGUAAGUCAGAUGUGAAAUACCAAAGCUCAACUUUGGUGCUGCAUUUGAAACUACAUAUCUUGAGGGUAGACGGAGAAAACGGAAUUCCACGUGUAGCGGUGAAAUGCGUGGAUAUGUGGAAGAACACCUGUGGCGAAAGCGGUUUUCUAGUUUAUUCCUGACGCUGAGGCGCGAGAGCAAGGGGAGCAAACAGG
rnacentral:rRNA from 1 species